GGGCUGGAUGGGGGGAUGGAGGGGGGUGGACGGGGGAAGCAUGGGGGAUAGAUGGGGUGGAUGGGUGAUGGAGGGGGAUGGAGGGGGGUGGAUGGGGGAUGGAAGGGGAUGGAUGGGAUGGAGACGGGUGGAUGGGGGAAGGAUGGGGGAUGGAGGGGGCUGGAUGGGGGAUGGAGGGGGCUGGAUGGGGGAUGGAGGGAGGGUGGAUGGGGGAAGGAUGGGGGAUGGAGGGGGCUGGAUGGGAGAAGGAUGGGGGAUGAGGGGGCUGGAUGGGGGGAUGGAGGGGGGUGGACGGGGAAGAAUGGGGAUAGAUGGGGUGGAUGGGUGGUGGGGGGUGGGUGAGGGGAUGGAAGGGGGUGGGUGGGGGGAUGGAUGCGGGGGCGGAUGGUCGGGGGCAGACAGCAAUCUCAGAGGCGGAGGUAGGCACGGACUUCACCGUGGGCCUUAAAAGCGAGGGCGGAAGGGCCCCGUCGGCGAGGGCUGGAGCCACGUGCGCGCCAGCCCCGCCCCAGCCGCGCCCCAGCCGCGCCGUCGGACCCCCGGCCAGAGCAGGGCCCGCCUCGCCUCGCCUCGCCCCCCACCGCCCUCUGUCUGUCCCGGCCCCGCCGGCCCCCGCUUGGCCCGCCCAGCCGCGCCCCCGACGCGGUACUUACGCGGAAGUUGGAAUCCCCGGGCCGCCGCCGAGUCCCUCGGGAGGCGCGACCCCGCCCCUCCCCCGCCCGCCCCGGCGGGGCGCACGCCGCCGCCCCCCGCCCGCCCCCUCGGGAAGCGCCGCGGACCGUGCAGCCGCCCGCCGCGGGCAUCUCCUCCGCCAGUGGGAGCCCCGGGGCCGCUCCGCCCCGCCCCGCCGCCGCCGCCGCCGCCGCGACCGCGACCACGACCACGACCGCCCGGCUCGCGCGGCGUCCCCGGGUCACUGCGGCCCGGCCCUGCAGAGGCGCGCGGCCCGCGCAACCGCCGACCCGGCCAACCGCCGCUCGCGCGGGGCUCCCGCCGGCGCCAACGUACCUCGGGCGGCGCUCGCCCGCCGCCUCCCGCCACGGCAGCCCCGCCGACGGCAAUCGCCGCGCACAAUGAGGCUCCAGCCAGCGCGCGCCGAGAGCCCUGCUGCAGAGCCUCCGGCUGGGAUAGCCGCCCCCCGUGGGGGCGAUGCGGACAGCGCGGGACAGCCAGGGGAGCGCGCGGGGGCCGCAGCAUGCGGGAACCCGCUAAACCCGGUGGCUGCUGAGGCGGCCGAGAUGCUCGUGCGCGCAGCGCGCCCCACUGCAUCCUCGACCUUCUCCGGCUACAGGUACGUCCCAGCGGGAGACCUGGGCUGGGCCGGCCGGGGAAGAGGAAGACUCGACCCGAGGAGAGAGAGCGGGAGGAUCAGGAGAGCGAGGGAGAGGAGAGCGGGAGAGGGAGCAUCUGCGGCAAGGCGCGGGAGGAGCACCAGGGGGCGCUGCGGCUCCGCGCUCCGCGGCGCUCGCCCCGAAGAGCGCGUCGGCCAGAACGACUUCUCCCCAACUUCCCCUGGCUCCGGCGGGCGCGGGGCCCGAGGGGCGCGCGCCUGUGCACGCGUGCACGACCGUGCUGGUAUUUGCAGGCACGCGCAGUUGUGCACCUGGCGCGAUACAUGUGUGUGCACCGGCCGAGGACGUGUGCGGACUCCGGAUGGCCGUGGGCACCGCCACGGCGGCCUGCGGCUGUGCGCAGCAAUGCGCGCGUGCCUGAGAGGCUGUGCAGCCCACUGCCCACGUGCCCCUAACACUUGGUAA
rnacentral:lncRNA from 1 species